rnacentral:misc_RNA from 1 species
GAUGAAGAACGUAGCGAAAUGCGAUAAGUAGUGUGAAUUGCAGAAUUCAGUGAAUCAUCGAAUCUUUGAACGCACAUUGCGCCCUUUGGUAUUCCUUAGGGCAUGCCUGUUCGAGCGUCAUUUAAACCUUCAAGCUAAGCUUGGUGUUGGGUGACUGUCCGCUUCACGGCGGACUCGCCUCAAAAUUAUUGGCGGCCGGUACAUUGGCUUCGAGCGCAGCAGAAACGCGAGCUCGGGCCCGUCGUAUUGGCUCCCAGAAGCUAUCUUCACAAUUUUGACCUCGGAUCAGGUAGGGAUACCCGCUGAACUUAAGCAUAUCAAUAAGCGGAGGA